AUGUAUCAGGACCUACGGCAGAGGUUCUGGUGGACUAGGAUGAAGAGAGAAAUUGCUCAGUUUAUUGCUAACUGCGAUGUUUGUCGUCGCGUUAAGGCAGAACAUCAAAGGCCUGCUGGCACCCUUCAGCCUUUAGCUAUUCCUGAGUGGAAAUGGGAUAAAGUUGGUAUGGACUUCAUCACCGGCUUUCCCAGGACCAAGAAAGGGAAUAAUGCUAUCUUUGUAGUCAUUGAUCAUCUUUCCAAAGUGGCUCACUUCCUACCUGUUCGGGAGAGUAUCACCGCUAGUCAGCUCGCUGACUUAUAUAUUUCUCGAAUAGUUUCACUUCAUGGUGUCCCACUAGAGAUCAAUUCAGACCGUGGUAGUCUUUUAACUUCUCAUUUCUGGGAGAGUUUCCAAACUGCCAUGGACACCCAUCUUUCCUUCAGCACCGCUUUCCACCCUCAAUCAAGUGGUCAGGUGGAAAGGGUCAAUCAAAUUCUCGAAGACAUGCUUAGAGCUUGUGUUAUCUCAUUCGGUAUGGAUUGGGAGAAGUGUCUUCCCUUCGCCGAGUUUGCUUAUAACAAUAGCUACCAAUCCAGCCUCAAGAAAGCUCCUUUUGAGGUUCUGUAUGGACGAAGAUGUCGAACACCUUUGAACUGGUCAGAACCGGUGAAAGACAAUUCUUUGGACCGGAUAUGA
rnacentral:rRNA from 1 species